rnacentral:misc_RNA from 1 species
UAAUAAGUGUUUUAUGGCACUUUUUAAAUCCAUAUCCACCUUGUGUGCAAUGUCAGUCGAUCUUCUUCAUGGAGAUCGACCAAACAUCAACCUUUAUCUUUUAACUCUUUGUCUGAAAAAUAUUACAAAUAAACAAUUCAAAAUA